CAGUGCAAUCAGGUUUCAAACCUGGAACUUUCAGAUACUGAAGUCGAGACCUUACCACUAGGCCAACGCAGC